rnacentral:rRNA from 1 species
AUGCGUGAUCAGGUCGGCCUGGACCUGGAUGGCUUCCCUCUCGACCACGAGUUUCCGGAGGACUACGGGCUAGAGGAAGGGGACGAGUGUGACAUCGAAGGGGAGCCUUUGUUCGAGGACAAGCUCGCCAACCAAGCCGUCGGGCCGAAGCCCAAGCGCAAGAGCAAGCAGACCAAGGCAUACAUGGCGGCCGAGGACAAGCUUCUUUGCGAGUGUUGGAGAGACAUUGGGAAGACCCCAAGACGGGCGCCGAACAAAAGCAUUCAACUUUUUGGAUUCGUUCCACCGUGA